rnacentral:rRNA from 1 species
GUGCACGCUGGCGGUAGGCCUAACCCAUGCAAGUCGCACGGCAGCACAGUAAGAGCUUGCUCUUACGGGUGGCGAGUGGCGGACGGGUGAGGAAUACAUCGGAAUCUACUUUUUCGUGGGGGAUAACGUAGGGAAACUUACGCUAAUACCGCAUACGACCUACGGGUGAAAGCAGGGGAUCUUCGGACCUUGCGCGAUUGAAUGAGCCGAUGUCGGAUUAGCUAGUUGGCGGGGUAAAGGCCCACCAAGGCGACGAUCCGUAGCUGGUCUGAGAGGAUGAUCAGCCACACUGGAACUGAGACACGGUCCAGACUCCUACGGGAGGCAGCAGUGGGGAAUAUUGGACAAUGGGCGCAAGCCUGAUCCAGCCAUACCGCGUGGGUGAAGAAGGCCUUCGGGUUGUAAAGCCCUUUUGGUGGGAAAGAAAAGCAGCAGGUUAAUACCCCGCUGUUCUGACGGUACCCAAAGAAUAAGCACCGGCUAACUUCGUG